GAGGGAGCUAAUUUGUACUGAAGCUUGACAUGAGCAAGACUUAUGAUCAUGUUGAAUGACACUUGGUAGAGGAGAUUAUUUGAAGAUAGGUUUUGCAGUAGAAUGAGUCAUUUCCUUUUUUUUCUUUUUUGUUGUGAGGGUUUAUCGUUAUUACUGCGAUUUGCGCGUCGAGACGGUUUGGUGAAAGGGGUCAAAACAUCUUGAUCAGGGUCGAUGGUGUCCCAUUUUUUUUUUUUUGAUGAUAGCUUGAUUUUUGAGAGGCAACAUCAGUCGGGGUGGAGAAUAUGAAUAAAUUUUGAAAGAGUAUGAGGAACAUUCGGGGCAAAUGGUGAAUUUUAAUAAAUCCCUUAUUUGCUUUAGAUCAAACGUUGAUGAGGAAACUCGU
rnacentral:lncRNA from 1 species